UUACAAUGAUGACUUUUGAAUUUCUUCACCUGAAUCUCAAUGAAGAUACAAAACACGAGCUUUUUAACCCUGAGUAGC